CCUACGGGAGGCAGCAGUGGGGAAUCUUGGACAAUGGGCGCAAGCCUGAUCCAGCCAUGCCGCGUGAGUGAUGAAGGCCUUAGGGUCGUAAAGCUCUUUCGCCAGGGAUGAUAAUGACAGUACCUGGUAAAGAAACCCCGGCUAACUCCGUGCCAGCAGCCGCGGUAAUACGGAGGGGGUUAGCGUUGUUCGGAAUUACUGGGCGUAAAGCGCGCGUAGGCGGGUUGUUAAGUUAGAGGUGAAAUCCCGGGGCUCAACCCCGGAACUGCCUUUAAUACUGGCAACCUAGAGUUCGAGAGAGGUGAGUGGAAUUCCGAGUGUAGAGGUGAAAUUCGUAGAUAUUCGGAGGAACACCAGUGGCGAAGGCGGCUCACUGGCUCGAUACUGACGCUGAGGUGCGAAAGUGUGGGGAGCAAACAGGAUUAGAUACCCUGGUAGUCCACACCGUAAACGAUGAAUGCCAGUCGUCGGGUAGCAUGCUAUUCGGUGACACACCUAACGGAUUAAGCAUUCCGCCUGGGGAGUACGGUCGCAAGAUUAAAACUCAAAGGAAUUGACGG
rnacentral:rRNA from 1 species